rnacentral:lncRNA from 1 species
AAUGCUGAAUAAGUUACCUAUAGAUGUUAGUACCAGUUUAUCACUAUUUUAUAAAUUUACAAAACCAUCUAAAACGUAGAAGUGUAUAAUGAUGCAAAAUGCGAUAUUAGCCUUGGUCGUAGCCAUGAUGGUUAUUCAGUCAGUAGCCACGCAAUUUGUACAAAGUGACGAUCAAUUCAUACCGAUAAAGAUGUAAAAAACCAAGACCACAAUCCCAAGAAAUGGAAACCAGACAUUCUACUCACAAGAAGGACUAUCACCAAUAAGGAAAAAAACACACACACAAAAAAACCUAAAUGAUGACUUAGCGACGGAAGAUGUGUUUGAUGGACCAGAUUUAAUAAUUGUAAAGUAAAACUUUAAAUUCAUUGUAUGUGCAUAAUAAACUGAUGAACAUUAUAA